CGAGAGGCUUUGGCAAUGGGGGAAACCCUGACCAAGCGACGCCGCGUGGGCGAUGACGGCCUUGGUUGUAAGCCCUGUCAUGCGGGAAGAAAAGGCCCUGUGAUAACACCACGAGGUUUUGACGGUACCGCAA
rnacentral:rRNA from 1 species